CGUAGGUGGCAAGCGUUGUCCGGAUUUAUUGGGUUUAAAGGGUGCGUAGGCGGCUUUGUAAGUCAGUGGUGAAAUACUCCAGCUCAACUGGAGAGGUGCCAUUGAUACUGCAGAGCUAGAGUACUGAUGAGGUAGGCGGAAUGGACGGUGUAGCGGUGAAAUGCUUAGAUAUCGUCCAGAACACCGAUAGCGAAGGCAGCUUACUAAAGAGUAACUGACGCUGAGGCACGAAAGUGUGGGGAUCAAACAGGAUUAGAUACCCUGGUAGUCCACACUGUAAACGUUGAUCACUAGAUGUUGGCGAUACACUGCAGCGUUCCAGCAAAAGCGAUAAGUGAUCCACCUGGGGAGUACGCCCGCAAGGGUG
rnacentral:rRNA from 1 species